CGAACGCUGGCGGCGUGCCUAAUACAUGCAAGUAGAACGCUGAAGAGAGGAGCUUGCUCUUCUUGGAUGAGUUGCGAACGGGUGAGUAACGCGUAGGUAACCUGCCUUGUAGCGGGGGAUAACUAUUGGAAACGAUAGCUAAUAGCGCAUAACAAUGGGUGACACAUGUCAUUUAUUUGAAAGGGGCAAUUGCUCCACUACAAGAUGGACCUGCGUUGUAUUAGCUAGUAGGUGAGGUAACGGCUCACCUAGGCGACGAUACAUAGCCGACCUGAGAGGGUGAUUGGCCACACUGGGACUGAGACACGGCCCAGACUCCUACGGGAGGCAGCAGUAGGGAAUCUUCGGCAAUGGGGGCAACCCUGACCGAGCAACGCCGCGUGAGUGAAGAAGGUUUUCGGAUCGUAAAGCUCUGUUGUAAGUCAAGAACGAGUGUGAGAGUGGAAAGUUCACACUGUGACGGUAGCUUACCAGAAAGGGACGGCUAACUACGUGCCAGCAGCCGCGGUAAUACGUAGGUCCCGAGCGUUGUCCGGAUUUAUUGGGCGUAAAGCGAGCGCAGGCGGUUUGAUAAGUCUGAAGUUAAAGGCUGUGGCUCAACCAUAGUUCGCUUUGGAAACUGUCAAACUUGAGUGCAGAAGGGGAGAGUGGAAUUCCAUGUGUAGCGGUGAAAUGCGUAGAUAUAUGGAGGAACACCGGUGGCGAAAGCGGCUCUCUGGUCUGUAACUGACGCUGAGGCUCGAAAGCGUGGGGAGCGAACAGGAUUAGAUACCCUGGUAGUCCACGCCGUAAACGAUGAGUGCUAGGUGUUGGAUCCUUUCCGGGAUUCAGUGCCGCAGCUAACGCAUUAAGCACU
rnacentral:rRNA from 1 species